AGGUUUGGGUGGCGGACGGGUGAGUAACGCGUAAAGAACUUGCCUCACAGCUAGGGACAACAUUUAGAAAUGAAUGCUAAUACCUAAUAUUAUGAUAAUAGGGCAUCCUAUAAUUAUGAAAGCUAUAUGCGCUGUGAGAGAGCUUUGCGUCCCAUUAGCUAGUUGGAGAGGUAACGGCUCACCAAGGCGAUGAUGGGUAGCCGGCCUGAGAGGGUGAUCGGCCACAAGGGGACUGAGACACGGCCCUUACUCCUACGGGAGGCAGCAGUGGGGAAUAUUGGACAAUGGACCGAGAGUCUGAUCCAGCAAUUCUGUGUGCACGAUGAAGUUUUUCGGAAUGUAAAGUGCUUUCAGUUGGGAAGAAAGAAAUGACGGUACCAACAGAAGAAGUGACGGCUAAAUACGUGCCAGCAGCCGCGGUAAUACGUAUGUCACGAGCGUUAUCCGGAUUUAUUGGGCGUAAAGCGCGUCUAGGUGGUUAUAUAAGUCUGAUGUGAAAAUGCAGGGCUCAACUCUGUAUUGCGUUGGAAACUGUAUAACUAGAGUACUGGAGAGGUAAGCGGAACUACAAGUGUAGAGGUGAAAUUCGUAGAUAUUUGUAGGAAUGCCGAUGGGGAAGCCAGCUUACUGGACAGAUACUGACGCUGAAGCGCGAAAGCGUGGGUAGCAAACAGGAUUAGAUACCCUGGUAGUCCACGCUGUAAACGAUGAUUACUAGGUGUUGGGGGUC
rnacentral:rRNA from 1 species